AAUGUGCUGGGAUGCAUAUCUGGUGCUUCGGCCAGGCAGGGCAUGCUGUGCUCUCUGUUCCUAGAACACAUAGAUAGGAAUGUGGUCACUGUACUGAUGCUGUACUGUGUUGGGAACAAAUUGUGUAAACAAGGCUUUGUAACUAACUUUGUGGUUUUUGCAAAUAAAAACGCUGUAACUCCUAUAGUCGGCACUGCAGUUCAGCCUUUGCUUCGGCAGGGUGCUGUAAGUGUAGUCGCUGGCCAGCUUAAUAAAGGCUCCUAAAUCUUGAUCUGA